rnacentral:rRNA from 1 species
UACGUAGGGAGCAAGCGUUGUCCGGAAUCAUUGGGCGUAAAGCGCGCGUAGGCGGCCCGGUCAGUCCGUCGUGAAAGUCAAAGGCUCAACCUUUGAAUGUCGAUGGAUACUGCCGGGCUAGAGUCCGGAAGAGGCGAGUGGAAUUCCUGGUGUAGCGGUGAAUGCGCAGAUAUCAGGAGGAACACCAGUAGGCGAAGGCAGGCUC